UAGUUCAAUAUUAUUUCACCA
ensembl:piRNA 21ur-921 ncRNA